UGGGGGAUCUUGCGCUAAUGCGCGAAAGCGUGACGCAGCGACGCCGCGUGGGGGAUGAAAGCCCUCGGGUUGUAAACCCCUUUCGGCAGGGACGAAGCGAAAGUGACGGUACCUGCAGAAGAAGUCCCGGCUAACUACGUGCCAGCAGCCGCGGUAACACGUAGGGGGCGAGCGUUGUCCGGAUUCAUUGGGCGUAAAGCGCGCGUAGGCGGCUCGGAAAGUCGGUCGUGAAAGGCCGGGGCUCAACCCCGGGACUGCGUCCGAUACUUCCGAGCUGGAGGCAGGUAGGGGAGAUCGGAAUUCCUGGUGUAGCGGUGAAAUGCGCAGAUAUCAGGAGGAACACCGGUGGCGAAGGCGGAUCUCUGGGCCUUGCCUGACGCUGAGGCGCGAAAGCUAGGGGAGCGAACAGGAUUAGAUACCCUGGUAGUCCUAGCCGUAAACGUUGGGUGCUAGGUGUGGGCGGACAUCGACCCCGUCCGUGCCGAAGCUAACGCAUUAAGCA
rnacentral:rRNA from 1 species